rnacentral:lncRNA from 1 species
UGCUAUGACGAGUGAAAUGUUUUGGGGGCGAUGUGACCCCUAGGGAGUCGAUAACCCUUGGCGAACGAAAUAUUUUGGGAGCAGAUGUAAGCCCCCAGGGAGUCGAUAACCCUUGGCGAACGAAAUAUUUUGGGGGCGAUGUAAGCCCCCAGGGAGUCGAUAACCCUUGGCGAGCGAAAUAUUUUGGGGGCAUAUGUAAGCCCCCAGGGAGUCGAUAACCCUUGGCGAACGAAAUAUUUUGGGGGCGAUGUAAGCCCCCAGGGAGUCGAUAACCCUUGGCGAGCGAAAUAUUUUGGGGGCGAUGUAAGCCCCCAGGGAGUCGAUAACCCUUGGCGAGCGAAAUAUUUUGGGGGCAUAUGUAAGCCCCCAGGGAGUCGAUAACCCUUGGC